rnacentral:rRNA from 1 species
GCGGCCUAUCAGCUUGUUGGUGCGGUAACGGCGCACCAAGGCGACGACGGGUAGCUGGUCUGAGAGGAUGGCCAGCCACAUUGGGACUGAGAGACGGCCCAGACUCCUACGGGAGGCAGCAGUGGGGAAUCUUGCGCAAUGGUCAAACGACUGACGCAGCGACGCCGCGUGUGGGAGGACGCCUUUCGGGGUGUAAACCACUGUUGCCCGGGACGAACAAGCACUUUCGAGUGCUCUGACGGUACCGGGUGAGGAAGCACCGGCUAACUCCGUGCCAGCAGCCGCGGUAAUACGGAGGGUGCGAGCGUUGUCCGGAAUCAUUGGGCGUAAAGGGCGCGUAGGUGGCGGGGCAAGCGUGCGGUGAAAGCUCGGGGCUCAACCCCGAGUCGGCCGUGCGAACUGCUUUGCUUGAGCACUGUAGAGGCAGGCGGAAUUCCGGGUGUAGCGGUGGAAUGCGUAGAGAUCCGGAAGAACACCGGUGGCGAAGGCGGCCUGCUGGGCAGUGGCUGACACUGAGGCGCGACAGCGUGGGGAGCAAACAGGAUUAGAUACCCUGGUAGUCCACGCCGUAAACGAUGGGCACUAGGCGCUUGGGGGAGCGACCCCUCGAGGGCCGGCGCUAACGCAUUAAGCGCCCCGCCUGGGGAGUACGG